rnacentral:rRNA from 1 species
GGAGUUAUCCGGUGCUUCUUCUGUGAGUGAUGUCCUUCCUGCCGGCUAUUAACCCGCAGGCCUUCUUCCUCACUGAAAGUGCUUUACAACCCGAAGGCCUUCUUCACACACGCGGCAUGGCUGGAUCAGGGUUGCCCCCAUUGUCCAAUAUUCCCCACUGCUGCCUCCCGUAGGAGUCUGGGCCGUGUCUCAGUCCCAGUGUGGCUGAUCAUCCUCUCAGACCAGCUACGGAUCGUCGCCUUGGUGAGCCGUUACCUCACCAACCAGCUAAUCCGACAUAGGCUCAUCCGAUAGCGCGAGGCCCGAAGGUCCCCCGCUUUCCCCCGUAGGGCGUAUGCGGUAUUAGCCUGGGUUUCCCCAGGUUAUCCCCCACUACCGGGCAGAUUCCUAUGCAUUACUCACCCGUCCGCCGCUCGCCACCAGGGAGCAAGCUCCCCGUGCUGCCGCUCGACUUGCAUGUGUUAGGCCUGCCGCCAGCGUUCAAUCUGAGCCAUAAUCAAACUCUGA